AGAGUUUGAUCAUGGCUCAGGAUGAACGCUAGCUACAGGCUUAACACAUGCAAGUCGAGGGGAAACGAUAUUGGAAGCUUGCUUCCGAUAGGCGUCGACCGGCGCACGGGUGAGUAACGCGUAUCCAACCUGCCCACCACUUGGGGAUAACCUUGCGAAAGUAAGACUAAUACCCAAUGAUAUCUCUAGAAGACAUCUGAAAGAGAUUAAAGAUUUAUCGGUGAUGGAUGGGGAUGCGUCUGAUUAGCUUGUUGGCGGGGUAACGGCCACCAAGGCGACGAUCAGUAGGGGUUCUGAGAGGAAGUCCCCCACAUUGGAACUGAGACACGGUCCAAAACUCCUACGGGGAGCA
rnacentral:rRNA from 1 species